CCAAUAGCGUAUAUUAAAGUUGUUGCAGUUAAAAAGCUCGUAGUUGAAUUUCGGGAUCAGUUGGUCGGUCGUGCCUCGGUACGUACUGGUCAAAUUGAUUCCUACCUUCUGACGAACCACGAUGUCAUUAAUUUGGUGUCGUGGGAAAUCAGGACUGUUACUUUGAGAAAAUUAGAGUGUUUAAAGCAGGCUCGCGCUUGAAUACAUUAGCAUGGACUAAUGAAAUAGGACGUUUGAUUCUAUUUUGUUGGUUUCUAGGAUCGACGUAAUGAUUAAUAGGGAUAGUUGGGGGCAUUAGUAUUCAAUUGUCAGAGGUGAAAUUCUUGGAUUUAUUGAAGACUAACUACUGCGAAAGCAUUUGCCAAGGAUGUUUUCAUUAAUCAAGAACGAAAGUUAGGGGAUCGAAGACGAUCAGAUACCGUCGUAGUCUUAACCAUAAACUAUGCCGACUAGGGAUCGGAUGAUGUUAAUUUUUUAAUAACUCAUUCGGCGCCUUACG
rnacentral:rRNA from 1 species